rnacentral:rRNA from 1 species
GAUGAACGCUGGCGGCGUGCCUAAUACAUGCAAGUCGAGCGAACGGACGAGAAGCUUGCUUUUCUGAUGUUAGCGGCGGACGGGUGAGUAACACGUGGAUAACCUACCUAUAAGACUGGGAUAACUUCGGGAAACCGGAGCUAAUACCGGCUAAUAUUUUGAACCGCAUGGUUCAAAAGUGAAAGACGGUCUUGCUGUCACUUAUAGAUGGAUCCGCGCUGCAUUAGCUAGUUGGUAAGGUAACGGCUUACCAAGGCAACGAUGCAUAGCAGACCUGAGAGGGAGAACGGCCACACGGAAACUGAGACACGGUCGAGACUCCUACGAGAGGCAGCAGUAGGGAAUCGUCCGAAAUGGGCGAAAGCCUGACGGAGCAACGCCGCGUGAGUGAUGAAGGUCUUCGGAUCGUAAAACUCUGUUAGUAGGGAAGAACAUAUGUGUAAGUAACUGUGCACAUCUUGACGGUACCUAAUCAGAAAGCCACGGCUAACUACG